GAAUCUGCCCUCAGGAGGGGGAUAACGGUUGGAAACGACCGCUAAUACCCCAUAUGCCGAGAGGUGAAAUGAAUUUCGCCUGAGGAUGAGCCCGCGUCUGAUUAGCUUGUUGGUGAGGUAAUGGCUCACCAAGGCAUCGAUCAGUAGCUGGUCUGAGAGGAUGAUCAGCCACACUGGGACUGAGACACGGCCCAGACUCCUACGGGAGGCAGCAGUGGGGAAUUUUCCGCAAUGGGCGAAAGCCUGACGGAGCAACGCCGCGUGAGGGACGAAGGCCUCUGGGCUGUAAACCUCUUUUCUCAAGGAAGAAGAUAUGACGGUACUUGAGGAAUAAGCCACGGCUAAUUCCGUGCCAGCAGCCGCGGUAAUACGGGAGUGGCAAGCGUUAUCCGGAAUUAUUGGGCGUAAAGCGUCCGCAGGCGGCCUUUCAAGUCUGCUGUUAAAGCGUGGAGCUUAACUCCAUCAUGGCAGUGGAAACUGAUUGGCUUGAGUAUGGUAGGGGCAGAGGGAAUUCCCGGUGUAGCGGUGAAAUGCGUAGAUAUCGGGAAGAACACCAGUGGCGAAGGCGCUCUGCUGGGCCAUUACUGACGCUCAUGGACGAAAGCCAGGGGAGCGAAAGGGAUUAGAUACCCCUGUAGUCCUGGCCGUAAACGAUGAACACUAGGUGUCGGGGGAAUCGACCCCUUCGGUGUCGUAGCUAACGCGUUAAGUGUUCCGCCUGGGGAGUACGCACGCAAGUGUGAAACUCAAAGGAAUUGACGGGGGCCCGCACAAGCGGUGGAGUAUGUGGUUUAAUUCGAUGCAACGCGAAGAACCUUACCAGGGCUUGACAUCCUGCGAACCUUUAAGAAAUUAGAGGGUGCCUUCGGGAACGCAGUGACAGGUGGUGCAUGGCUGUCGUCAGCUCGUGUCGUGAGAUGUUGGGUUAAGUCCCGCAACGAGCGCAACCCACGUUCUUAGUUGCCAGCAUUUAGUUGGGCACUCUAGAAAGACCGCCGGUGAUAAACCGGAGGAAGGUGUGGAUGACGUCAAGUCAUCAUGCCCCUUACGUCCUGGGCUACACACGUACUACAAUGCUACGGACAAAGGGCAGCAAACUCGCGAGAGCUAGCAAAUCCCAUAAACCGUGGCUCAGUUCAGAUCGUAG
rnacentral:rRNA from 1 species